rnacentral:rRNA from 1 species
UACGUAGGGUGCAAGCGUUAAUCGGAAUUACUGGGCGUAAAGCGUGCGCAGGCGGUUCGCUAAGACAGAUGUGAAAUCCCCGGGCUUAACCUGGGAACUGCAUUUGUGACUGUCGGGCUAGAGUAUGGCAGAGGGGGGUAGAAUUCCACGUGUAGCAGUGAAAUGCGUAGAGAUGUGGAGGAAUACCGAUGGCGAAGGCAGCCCCCUGGGCCAAUACUGACGCUCAUGCACGAAAGCGUGGGGAGCAAACAGG